rnacentral:rRNA from 1 species
AUGUGCAACAAGUGCAAGGACGCCAGACAUCUGACUAGAGACUGCAAGUUGCCCAAUUGUAUUAUUUGUGGCAAGAACUCUCACAUCACGGAGGAAUGUGCUUGGCUGAAGCAAAUCAAGCCAACCCCCAAAUUUAUUGGCUAUGCAGCUAGAGGUUUGGGAGUGCUGCUGGUACAAAAUUCUAAAGAGGUUGUUAGUAGUGAACAGACUAACCCUAUGGCCAUUGUGAACAUUUCUGCUGGGGAGAUUAAUGAGACUCAAUUCUUGGAGGGGUUCAACUACAUGUUCAGCUGGAACUGGCAGUGGAGAUGCAAAAAACAUGGAGACAGAGCUUACUUGAUGAGUUUUCCCAGCAAAAGCAGACUGGCAGAACUUCACAAAUUUAGAAAUUUCAAUUUGCUGGGGACCAUUGUUGUGAUCAAUGUGGACAGCUGGACAUAUGACACUCAAGCUAUUGGCAAAAUGCACAUAGUGUGGGUGCAGUUUGGGAAAAUCCCUGAAUGUUUAGACAUAUUUUUUUGGAAUGUGUGA